AAAGCACCCAAACAGUAACUACAAACUUCAAAUUUGAGCUCUAACAAGCAUAGAACAGACCAUAGGCAAGCAAUCUAAACCUCUCAAAAUACACUACCAAAUUUAGAAAAUUUAACCCCUGGAAGUAAAAUUAAAGCAGCAGAGAGCAUACCCUUUACUUAGAAUUGUGAAACCACUAAACCUCAGAUCGAACCAGCUUCAAUCCCACCAUUCGCCUCUGCAAGAAAAAUAACACCAAUUUCACCAAAAGAUUGAAUCUUUGACCAAGUACCCUUUCUGGGAUUCAUCAAAAAGCUAAAAAAUUCCAAGAUUUUAUUUCCAGAACCUAAAAGAAAUUGUAAAAUUUCAAAAUUUAAAGGAAA
rnacentral:lncRNA from 1 species